GCGGGAGUAGCUCAGUUGGUGGAGCACGAGUUUUCCAAACUCGGGGUCGCGGGUUCGAGCCCCGUCUCCCGCU
rnacentral:tRNA from 1 species